rnacentral:rRNA from 1 species
UACGAAGGGGGCUAGCGUUGUUCGGAUUUACUGGGCGUAAAGCGCACGUAGGCGGAUCGUUAAGUCGGGGGUGAAAUCCUGGAGCUCAACUCCAGAACUGCCUUCGAUACUGGCGAUCUUGAGUCCGGAAGAGGUGAGUGGAACUCCUAGUGUAGAGGUGGAAUUCGUAGAUAUUAGGAAGAACACCAGUGGCGAAGGCGGCUCACUGGUCCGGUACUGACGCUGAGGUGCGAAAGCGUGGGGAGCA